CCUACGGACGGCAGCAGUGGGGAAUAUUGCACAAUGAGCGAAAGCCUGAUGCAGCAACGCCGCGUGCACGAAGACGGUUUUCGGAUUGUAAACUUCUGUUCUUAGUGAAGAAUAAUGACGGUAACUAAGGAUCCCGCCCCGGCUCACUACGUGCCAGCAGCCGCGGUAAUACGUAGGUUGCAAGCGUUGUCCGGAAUUACUGGGUGUAAAGGGAGCGUAGGCGGGAGGCCAAGUCAGCUGUGAAAACCACGGGCUUAACCUGUAGCCUGCAGUUGAAACUGGCUUUCUUGAGUGAAGUAGAGGUGGGCGGAAUUCCGAGUGUAGCGGUGAAAUGCGUAGAUAUUCGGAGGAACACCGGUGGCGAAGGCGGCCAACUGGGCUUUAACUGACGCUGAGGCGCGAAAGUGUGGGGAGCAAACAGGAUUAGAUACCCUUGUAGUC
rnacentral:rRNA from 1 species